ensembl:lncRNA
AGAAAAGCGGUUUGUUUUUUUUUGUCUCUCUCUCUCUCUGUUUGGACAGCUCAGCUCUGUCACCGUGCUAAUCAUCUAAACGCAAUAUUCUGACAUGAUUUUGCAGCUAAAGUUAAAUCUGACAGUAGAGGAUCAAAUAUAAAAAUCCUUUAGUGUGUGUAUUUGAGGCGAUUAACUACGCUCCGAGGUAAGUCAAACUGAAUCUUGCUAGGUGAGCUAUUUUGCUAGCAUUGUGUGGUUUGGUGGAUUCCUACUUCCUGUCGUUACUGCGAGCUGCUGGUACACGUUAAUGCCGCCGCCAUAUUGGAAAGGUCAAGCGUGGCUUGUAAACACGUUCCAGCCUUUGCUUAGAUACAGGUAUACACUGUAAAUUCGCUUUUUGUUCAACCGAUUUUCAGAAUAUUUGUUAUUUUUUGUUAUGCUUAUGUUAAAGUCAGAUAAACCAACAUUUACCAUUUCUAAAACAGAUAAUCACUUGACUUUUAAUAAAUUAAUUUGUUUAAUUGCUGUUAUUAUUAUUAUUAUUAUUAUUAUUAUUAUUUUGCCCAUUAGAUUUGUGGGGAUAUGCAGACAGAAACUUGUACUGCUUCAUGUGAAAGGACACCAGACAUUUUGGGACAUAUCUCCCCUGUAGACUAUCAGAACCAUGUAAAAAAGGAACAACCUGAAGAUGAAGACUAUCCUUGUGAUGGGAUGUCAAGCUCUGUGGAACACUUUAUUUUUGUGGACCAACAGAAUGAUGGAUUCCUGAAAAAGCCUGUAAAAGAGGAAGAAGAUGAAGAUGAAGACUACCUCUGUAAGACAACAGAGUGCAGUCUGGGGGCUCAGUGAUGUUUCUCACACUCAUGGUCCCUUUACAAUUUAAAAUCUAAAAACGAUAGGAAGAGACGAGCCUAGCAAAUGCCUGCUGUAUGUUGAAUUUCUCUCUUAAAAGUGUCUGUAGCCAGAAAUCCUGUGGGUUUAAAGGUCCUGGACACAAACCAGUAAUUACCUUUAUGGGACUUGUUUUCCUCACCAACAUGCGUGACAGAAAUCAAAAUCUGCCUUUAACCAUUAGUUUAAAAUUGACGUAUUUAUAGCAUUUUACAGAUUUCAUUAUCCUGU